AACGAACGCUGGCGGCAUGCCUAACACAUGCAAGUCGAACGAGACCUCCGGGUCUUGUGGCGCACGGGGGCGUAACGCGUGGGAACCUGCCCUUAGGUUCGGAAUAACUCCCCGAAAGGGGUGCUAAUACCGGAUAAUGUCUUCGGACCAAAGAUUUAUUGCCUUUGGAUGGGCCCGCGUUGGAUUAGCUGGUUGGUAGGGUAAAAGCCUACCAAGGCGAGGAUCCAUAGCUGGUCUGAGAGGAUGAUCAGCCACACUGGGACUGAGACACGGCCCAGACUCCUACGGAAGGCAGCAGUGGGGAAUAUUGGACAAUGGGCGAAGGCCUGAUCCAGCAAUGCCGCGUAAGUGAUGAAGGCCUUAGGGUUGUAAAGCUCUUUUACCCGGGAUGAUAAUGACAGUACCGGGAGAAUAAGCUCCGGCUAACUACGUG
rnacentral:rRNA from 1 species